rnacentral:snRNA from 1 species
GCGCUUGCUUCAGCAGCACAUAUACUAAAAUUGGAACCAUACAGAGAAGACUAGCAUGGCCCCUAUGCAAGGAUGAUGCUUUUAAUAAAUUAAAAAAUAAAUAAAUAA